rnacentral:sRNA from 1 species
GAUGCUGCCAGGGUCCCUGAAGAGGGAAGACACGCGGAAACAGGCUUGCACCCAGACACGACACCAUGCAUCUCCUCGGCCCCUGGCUCCUGCUCCUGGCACCCUGAAACCCUCUACGCCUGGGAGGGGGCCUGCGUCUGGAUCCCCUGCACCUACAGAGCCCUAGAUCGUGACCUGGAAAGCUUCAUCCUGUUCCACAAUCCUGAGUAUAACAAGAACACCUCGAAGUUUGAUGGGACAAGACUCUAUGAAAGCACAAAGGAUGGGAAGGUUCCUUCUGAGCAGAAAAGGGUGCAAUUCCUGGGAGACAAGAAUAAGAACUGCACACUGAGUAUCCACCCGGUGCACGUCAAUGACAGUGGUCAGCUGGGGCUGAGGAUGGAGUCCAAGACUGCGAAAUGGAUGGAACGAAUACACCUCAAUGUCUCUGAUCCUCCCAAGAAGGUGACCACAGUGAUUCAAAACCCCACGCCGAUUCGAGAAGGAGACACAGUGACCCUUUCCUGCAACUACAAUUCCAGUAACCCCAGUGUUACCCGGUAUGAAUGGAAACCCCAUGGCGCCUGGGAGGAGCCAUCG